CGGGAUCUUACAGUUAAAAAUGAAAUUGAAUUACAUACCUUUAGACACAACCGUCUGAGACGUAGUCCGACAGAUUUACAUGUUGAUGGAGAUGUUAUGAUGGAAGACGAAAGAAACUAUCACAUUUACAGGCUGUUGAAGCUGUGAUGAUGGAAGACGAAAGAAACUAUCACGUGCGGAGUCGCCAACUUUCCCUCUGAAUGUACGGUGACCUACGACUACACCAAAAAGUACCCUGCUUGCUGUGAUCCUACCCUUGAUUGCCCAUCGGAUUUAAAUGAAGAUUAAAUUGUUUACGUACUUU